UAUAGUUGUCAUAUUCACAUGCGGUUUAUAUUUGUAUGUAUCAGGGACAAAGAAGGUAGGUACCGUCGUUUGGGUUUACUUUGUUUCUUUCAGGGGAAUUUCGCGUCAAAAACAAAUUCAUAACAUAAUUUAAUUUUAGUUCUAGCAUUGGAGGCGACGUACUCUUAUGGCUAUUAUCUUACCUCCAUACACAGAGCCACGGAGGCAGUUUUAUCUGUUAUCAUUUGUGACGCCGUUAAACGCCAGAAAAAUUGAGCUGUCAAACUUUUCUUCUUGGAGCGGAAAGCUUGUAGAUUUUUAAGGCAAGAUAUGACUCAUCCACGUCAGAAAUUUAGUUACGAAAACGAUAUCACAUCAAGAUUUGUGUUUAAACAGUUUUGAAUGAUUAAAAUGCAAAUGUAAUGAUUGAGGUAAUAUUGAACCAGUAAAAGGGAUGUCUGCGUUAGUAUUUUAUUACUUUGUUUUGGGCCAAAGUUUGAAACAUGAAGUAGGGGGAUUAGAAGAGUCGAUAAAAAUCUCUAAAACUAGAAAUAUUUACAGAGUAUUAUCUAUAACAUAUUUAUUGUGUAGUAUAGUGCAAUUAUUCAACUGUUAUAAUAAUUUAUUUAAUUUAUGAGUUUUUACUGUACAAUAUAAAGUACCUACUUACUAAACCAAUGAUAAAGAAAAAUAUGACCGAGC